UACAGAGGUCUCAAGCGUUGUUCGGAUUCAUUGGGCGUAAAGGGUGCGUAGGCGGCGCGGUAAGUCGGGUGUGAAAUCUGGAGCUUAACUCCGAAACUGCAUUCGAUACUGCCGUGCUUGAGGGACUGGAGAGGAGACUGGAAUUUACGGGUGGAGCGGUGAAAUGCGUAGAUAUCGGACGGAAGACGCCGGUGGCGAAAGC
rnacentral:rRNA from 1 species